GUGUCAGCCGCCGCGGUAAUACAGAGGUCCCGAGCGUUGUUCGGAUUCACUGGGCGUAAAGGGUGCGUAGGUGGUGGGGUAAGUCUCGUGUGAAAGCUCGCAGCUUAACUGCGAAAAGUCACGGGAUACUAUUCCGCUGGAGGCUUGGAGGGGGGACUGGAAUACUUGGUGUAGCAGUGAAAUGCGUAGAUAUCAAGUGGAACACCAGUGGCGAAGGCGAGUCCCUGGACAAGACCUGACACUGAGGCACGAAAGCCAGGGGAGCAAACAGGAUUAGAUACCCUGGUAGUCCUGGCUGUAAACGGUGCACGUUUGCUGUAAAAGGAAUCGACCCCUUUUGUGGCGAAGCUAACGCGAUAAACGUGCCGCCUGGGAAGUACGGUCGCAAGAUUAAA
rnacentral:rRNA from 1 species